GGCUCUGACCACGCCCACGUCAUGCGCACGUGUUUUCUGGAGUUAUCUAAGACUGAGAUAUUUAUCCAGACGGUUUCCCGCUCUCCGGUUGUCACGGUGGAAGCUGAUUGGACGAUUCAAGGCCAAUAAAAACCUUCGGUCUCUCUGCGGCUUCUCCUCGUCAUGGCAACCAAAUGGGCCUCCACCAAAUGGGAGGCGGUGAAGGAGCGCAUGACAGGAAGUCCCGGCAACGACCCGGACGCCUCGCUGGAGGCCAAUCUGGAGAACGCUGACCCCGAGCUCUGCAUCAGACUCCUGCAGCGACAUGGAUAGAGUCUACCCCCACCUGACCAUUCUCCACAGGAUUUAUAAAACCUUCCUAUCAGCAGCACCAGCUCCAAACCAGGUUCCAGCCGUCUGGGGCUCAUUAAGACACACUUGUGUUGGUGCAGCGAUGAGGCCAGACUGUCCCAUCUCACCUGGCUGAGUGUGGAGCGGGACAUACUGGACAUAUGGACAGGGACAGAGUGGCUGAGUGUGGAGCAGGACAUACUGGACAUAUGGACAGGGACAGAGUGGUGGGCAGAUUGGCCACCAUGGAGGAGAGGAGGAUGAAGAUUUAAUAAGGGACCCUGAUAUGUAUGUAGUUUUGUUAGAUGUAUUUGUUCUGGAGGAUCGUUAAGCAGACAACUAAAUGGUGGGAAAAAAAAAUUUGUCUUUAAGAAUUUAUAUUUUAGUUAUGAAUAAGUCACUCAGAAUGUUAUAAAUCAGUUUCACUCAAAGUUUUCAUGUAGCACCUCUAGCCUACCUAUGGAGAUGUAAACAAACGUUGUGUUCCAUAUAUACAUUAUAAUAGAGCCAUGUCAGUUAUAUAGCGUGGCUCUGACUGAGAGCUCUUGGCCUGUUCAGCACCAUCGCUGUCCAGCAGCUGUCGCUGUCCGUGGUGCUGAAACCUUUUCACUUGACUGGCAAACUGUUUUCUUUGUUCGUCAGUACAAACUUGUCAAAACAUG